rnacentral:rRNA from 1 species
CUGCCGAGAAAAGCCUCUAGAUAGAAAAUAGGUGCCCGUACCGCAAACCGACACAGGUAGUCAAGAUGAGAAUUCUAAGGUGAGCGAGCGAACUCUCGUUAAGGAACUCGGCAAAAUGACCCCGUAACUUCGGGAGAAGGGGUGCUCUUUAGGGUUAACGCCCAGAAGAGCCGCAGUGAAUAGGCCCAAGCGACUGUUUAUCAAAAACACAGGUCUCUGCUAAACCGUAAGGUGAUGUAUAGGGGCUGACGCCUGCCCGGUGCUGGAAGGUUAAGAGGAGUGGUUAGCUUCUGCGAAGCUACGAAUCGAAGCCCCAGUAAACGGCGGCCGUAACUAUAACGGUCCUAAGGUAGCGAAAUUCCUUGUCGGGUAAGUUCCGACCCGCACGAAAGGCGUAACGAUUUGGGCACUGUCUCAACGAGAGACUCGGUGAAAUCAUAGUACCUGUGAAGAUGCAGGUUACCCGCGACAGGACGGAAAGACCCCGUGGAGCUUUACUGUAGCCUGAUAUUGAAAUUCGGCACAGCUUGUACAGGAUAGGUAGGAGCCUUUGAAACGUGAGCGCUAGCUUACGUGGAGGCGCUGGUGGGAUACUACCCUAGCUGUGUUGGCUUUCUAACCCGCACCACUUAUCGUGGUGGGAGACAGUGUCAGGCGGGCAGUUUGACUGGGGCGGUCGCCUCCUAAAAGGUAACGGAGGCGCUCAAAGGUUCCCUCAGAAUGGUUGGAAAUCAUUCAUAGAGUGUAAAGGCAUAAGGGAGCUUGACUGCGAGACCUACAAGUCGAGCAGGGUCGAAAGACGGACUUAGUGAUCCGGUGGUUCCGCAUGGAAGGGCCAUCGCUCAACGGAUAAAAGCUACCCCGGGGAUAACAGGCUUAUCUCCCCCAAGAGUUCACAUCGACGGGGAGGUUUGGCACCUCGAUGUCGGCUCAUCGCAUCCUGGGGCUGUAGUCGGUCCCAAGGGUUGGGCUGUUCGCCCAUUAAAGCGGUACGCGAGCUGGGUUCAGAACGUCGUGAGACAGUUCGGUCCCUAUCCGUCGUGGGCGUAGGAAAUUUGAGAGGAGCUGUCCUUAGUACGAGAGGACCGGGAUGGACAUACCUCUGGUGUACCAGUUGUCGUGCCAACGGCAUAGCUGGGUAGCUAUGUGUGGACGGGAUAAGUGCUGAAAGCAUCUAAGCAUGAAGCCCCCCUCAAGAUGAGAUUUCCCAACUUCGGUUAUAAGAUCCCUCAAAGAUGAUGAGGUUAAUAGGUUCGAGGUGGAAGCAUGGUGACAUGUGGAGCUGACGAAUACUAAUCGAUCGAAGACUUAAUCAA